GAGCUCUACAGCCAGAGUACUGAAGAAUUUGAAUACUAGGCUAGUGUAGUUUAUUUAAUAUCAUUGGAAGUUUUUGUUAUUGUACUUAAUAUGGGAGUGAUUCGUUUGAAAUGCCACUUAGACACACCCUCUUCAGCUAACAUAGGAUAUGAGCUUCAAUUCCAGAAACUCUUAGGCAUUCACCAAUGCAAUCAAGGCAUCAGUUGUCAGAGCAGGCCAUUUGUGCAGCCAACGUCAAAUUAUCCAGUACUCGCUAUGUUCCAGGCACUCUGCUUUACUUUCAUUGCCUUGUCCUCCAGGAGCUCACAGUCCACUGGGGAAGAGAAGCAGUUAGCAAAGCAUUCUAAUACAAUGUGGAAAGUCGAUAAUAGAGAGAGGAAUAAAGCGUCUUGGCUACAUUAAGAAGGGAAUACUAACCCUGCCUGAGUGAGCCUAGAAGGACUUCACUGAGGAAAUAACAUAUGCAUUAAUCCUUGAAGAAUGAGCAAUAAGUAGCCUACCAGGCAGAUAAUUUCAUUUAAAAAAAGAUUUUAUGCAUGGAGAGAGAAACACCAAAAUUAUGAAAAUGCAAGAGAGAAUAGCAUGUCUGGAGACUAAUAGUAAGUAGUCUUGUGUUGUUCAGGUAUAAUAUAUAUGGUGUAGAAUCAUGGAAAUCAUGAAGAGAAGCCUAGAAAGUUUACCUGAGGACAGAUGAUAGAGGGCUUUGUAUGCUGGGCUGAAGAGACAUUUUUCUUUCAUUUUUUUUUUCAAUAUCUCUGUAAUAAUGAAGGUGUUAAAGAUUUUGGGGUAAGGAUGUGAUGAUUA
rnacentral:lncRNA from 1 species